rnacentral:lncRNA from 1 species
UCGAGGAUACCCAGAACGGCUCCUUGGGAGGCAGAAUCGACUGGAGCAUUUCCAGCUCCGGUGAGGGGAACUCCAGGAGUCUCAUCGUCGUUGAUGACCGCCAUUGAAGACAAUGGAUUGCAGGGGACGAGAACGAGCGGAAGGAGAAGAAGAUCAGUUAGGCGGAAGCAUGCAAAUGGAUCGAGGAUUGACGAGAUCCCUCUGAUACCAUGU